rnacentral:rRNA from 1 species
GAUGAACGCUGGCGGCGUGCCUAAUACAUGCAAGUCGAGCGAACGGACGAGAAGCUUGCUUCUCUGAUGUUAGCGGCGGACGGGUGAGUAACACGUGGAUAACCUACCUAUAAGACUGGGAUAACUUCGGGAAACCGGAGCUAAUACCGGAUAAUAUUUUGAACCGCAUGGUUCAAAAGUGAAAGACGGUCUUGCCGUCACUUAUAGAUGGAUCCGCGCUGCAUUAGCUAGUUGGUAAGGUAACGGCUUACCAAGGCAACGAUGCAUAGCCGACCUGAGAGGGUGAUCGGCCACACUGGAACUGAGACACGGUCCAGACUCCUACGGGAGGCAGCAGUAGGGAAUCUUCCGCAAUGGGCGAAAGCCUGACGGAGCAACGCCGCGUGAGUGAUGAAGGUCUUCGGAUCGUAAAACUUUGUUAUUAGGGAAGAACAUAUGUGUAAGUAACUGUGCACAUCUUGACGGUACCUAAUCAGAAAGCCACGGCUAACUACGUG